rnacentral:rRNA from 1 species
AGUGAGCGCUGGCGGUAGGCCUAACACAUGCAAGUCGAACGGCAGCACAGGAGAGCUUGCUCUCUGGGUGGCGAGUGGCGGACGGGUGAGGAAUACAUCGGAAUCUACUUUUUCGUGGGGGAUAACGUAGGGAAACUUACGCUAAUACCGCAUACGACCUACGGGUGAAAGCAGGGGAUCUUCGGACCUUGCGCGAUUGAAUGAGCCGAUGUCGGAUUAGCUAGUUGGCGGGGUAAAGGCCCACCAAGGCGACGAUCCGUAGCUGGUCUGAGAGGAUGAUCAGCCACACUGGAACUGAGACACGGUCCAGACUCCUACGGGAGGCAGCAGUGGGGAAUAUUGGACAAUGGGCGCAAGCCUGGUCCAGCCAUACCGCGUGGGUGAAGAAGGCCUUCGGGUUGUAAAGCCCUUUUGUUGGGAAAGAAAUCCAGCUGGUUAAUACCCGGUUGGGAUGACGGUACCCAAAGAGUAAGCACCGGCUAACUUCGUGCCAGCCGCCGCGGUAA